rnacentral:rRNA from 1 species
AUUGAGCGCUGGCGGCAGGCCUAACACAUGCAAGUCGAGCGGAUGAAGGGAGCUUGCUCCUGGACUCAGCGGCGGACGGGUGAGUAAUGCCUAGGAAUCUGCCUGGUAGUGGGGGAUAACGUCCGGAAACGGGCGCUAAUACCGCAUACGUCCUGAGGGAGAAAGUGGGGGAUCUUCGGACCUCACGCUAUCAGAUGAGCCUAGGUCGGAUUAGCUAGUUGGUGGGGUAAAGGCCUACCAAGGCGACGAUCCGUAACUGGUCUGAGAGGAUGAUCAGUCACACUGGAACUGAGACACGGUCCAGACUCCUACGGGAGGCAGCAGUGGGGAAUAUUGGACAAUGGGCGAAAGCCUGAUCCAGCCAUGCCGCGUGUGUGAAGAAGGUCUUCGGAUUGUAAAGCACUUUAAGUUGGGAGGAAGGGCAGUAAGUUAAUACCUUACUGUUUUGACGUUACCAACAGAAUAAGCACCGGCUAACUUCGUG